AUUGAACGCUAGCGGGAUGCCUUACACAUGCAAGUCGAACGGAGUGGCGAACGGGUGAGUAAUGUAUAGGAACGGGCCCAGUAGCGGGGGAUAACUACGCGAAAGCGUAGCUAAUACCGCAUACUCUUGGAGCGGCAGAUAUCGGAUUAGCUAGAUGGUGGUGGAACGGAUCACGAAGGCGACGAACCGUAGCUGGGUUGAGAGUAAGACCAGCCACACGGGUACUGAGACACGGCGCAGACUCCUACGGUAGGCAGCAGUGGGGAAUUUUGGACUAUGGGGGAAACCCUGAUCCAGCCAUCCCGCGUGUGCGAUUAAGGCCUUCGGGUUGUAAAGCACUUUUGGCAGGAAAGCGGUACCUGCAGAAUAAGCACCGGCUAACUACGUGCCAGCCGCCGCGGUAAUAC
rnacentral:rRNA from 1 species